rnacentral:rRNA from 1 species
UACAGAGGGGGCAAGCGUUAUUCGGAAUUAUUGGGCGUAAAGGGCGCGUAGGCGGCCAGGCAAGUGGAAGGUGAAAUCCCUCGGCUCAACCGAGGAACUGCCCUCCAAACUGCCGGGCUCGAGUCCGGGAGAGGUGAGUGGAAUUCCCAGUGUAGCGGUGAAAUGCGUAGAUAUUGGGAGGAACACCAGUGGCGAAGGCGGCUCACUGGACCGGAACUGACGCUGAGGCGCGAAAGCGUGGGGAGCAAACGGG